GGGGCUGACCGGAUUUGACAGCGGGCAGAAAUGGUAUGUAAGCACGCGGAGCCUCGUCUGCCGGCUCCAUAAUAUCAGCAGUCGAAAAUUUAUCUGGCGAAAACAAUUACGCUCUCGCUGCCUAAUCGAAGUACAGUAGGUUACUGGCUUUAUCCCGUCACAAGGUGACAGGACGAGACAUCGCCCGGAAGCUCUUGUCCCGAAGCGUUCCGAACAGGCGGUGCGGUAAAAUCGGGAAUAGCCGUGGUGUGCCCCGCCGCUGCGGUGAAAUUUAAGGGGAUAAGGUUGUGGUUGGUGGUCCGGGUCUUGCCGCAGCACGAAAACCGAAGUCCGGAAUAAGCGUGUAGAAAGCGUAUGGUUUCCCUGUUUGGACGAGGGUUCAACUCCCUCCAGCUCCACAG
rfam:Prevotella sp. CAG:487 genomic scaffold, scf646